rnacentral:sRNA from 1 species
GUGCCCGGCCUUUGGGGGGUUUGUGGGUGUGUUUUACCCCCCCCAGGAGUGUGCACUCUUUGUUAAUAUCUCCCCCGAGAGAGGGCUUAACCGGAGAUCUUUCCCCCGCCCGCGGGCGGGGGCGGUGGUGAUUCCCUUCAGAGCCGUAUAGUUCACCGUUUUUGCCAUUGACGAGUAAAAAAUCGCUUUAGAGUCCAUUGGGGCAAUGCACUACCCGCUCUCCUCUGUGCACUCCCUGCCAUCAGAAUACAAAUGUUGUCUCCCCGGCUUGGGAGGUUUCAUCCAACGGGUCUCCGCUCGCUCUGUGUUCACGCAUCGACAAUGAAUCCUUCCGUACGGUGACUGCGGAAGGAUCAUUGUCGAUGCCCUGAAACAAAGAGCGACCCGCAAACCCGUUCCGAUGAAAGCCUCCCAAGCCCGGGCACAACACAAACCCCGGUACCUCAGGUGCCAAGGAACUGCAACAGAGCGAGAGCGCCUUACGCCGAUUGCACCCGAAAUGACUCUCAACAACGGAUAUCUCAGCUCUCGCAUCGAUGAAGAACGUAGUGAAAUGCAAUGCUUGGUGUGAAUUGCAGAAUCCUGUGAACUAUCGAGUCUUUGAAUGUAAGUUGCGCCCAAAGCUAUUAGGCCGAGGGCACGCCUGCCUGGGCGUCACGCAACGUCGCCGCCACCCCACGCGGGGCACGGCGAAUGAUGGCCUCCCGAGGCCUCUAUCCCCCAGCUGGCCGAAAUAACUGCCUAGCGCGAUGGCGGCAAUGAUCCACGGGGACGUUCGAGACCGAACGUGAUCGCACAAUCCCAUGGGGAGGGUCGGACCCCGAAUCCCACGGCGACCCCAGGUCAAGCGGCAUCCAGAUC